GCUGUCCGUCAACCGCCUCAUAUAUAGUGCAUGCAAGAAAAUGUGGAGCAGUUCAAUAACUUGUGUCGUCGCCAGACUUGUGUGUGCGCGUGUGUGUGUGAAGGAAGUGGGGGGUGCAUGCAUGUGGGAAUGCAUGUGCUUGUUUAUCUGUGUAAAAGCACGGAAGGAACGGGAGGUAGGGAGGGCGAGAGAGGGGGAGAGAUUUGUAAGGCACUUGUAUUUGCAAACUACUGGCUGAGUUCCCACUAGAGGCAGAGAGAUCACGCUGAAAGACUGCGUGUCAGGAGUGUGUGUGUGUGUGUGGGAGAGACAUGCAGACAGUGAGCGAGAGGAACCCGUUCAACUCAUUUCAGCAGUGAAUUCUCAGCCAGUCUAAAUGAGCUUUCUCCUCACAUAUGGAAGCUUUUUGCUCUCGCGUUUGAUUUUUCCCUCCUAACGUCGCCACAGUUUCACGCUGCCGCUGAACUUUUGGUCGCACUUGACGCUGAACGUGACAGCAGCGCCGGCUCAGCGCAGACACUCCAGUUUGCUCGGUAGUUUAGUGAAAACGAAGACGAUGGCGCUCAUCGUGUCUGCGGGGCUAUUAAAGGAAACCACAACCUUUGCAUCACCGCCUCUCCUCGCUCGCUCCUGCCGGCUUCUCGUCACCGUCACUCGAGAUUGCACGCCAACAAGGGUGGUAACGUGCUUUGGCAUGGAGGCGCUCCACGCAGGCCAAGACAAACACAGCAGCGCACACUGACAGACACCGAGGCUUGUGAAACAGCACAGCUUGUCGUUUUUGUGGGAAAUUACCUUCAAAGUUAAUAUUUCUCACCUUUAUAACCACAUAACACAGAAACGACUGGCACACCUGACGUUAGAGCAGUUUUAGGGAAGACGUGUGUCUGUGUGAGACAAAUAUGGAUUUU